rnacentral:rRNA from 1 species
AUUGAACGCUGGCGGCAGGCCUAACACAUGCAAGUCGAGCGGAGCGGCGGACGGGUGAGUAAUGCCUGGGAAUCUGCCUGGUAGUGGGGGAUCACGUCCGGCAACGGGCGCUAAUACCGCAUACUAUCAGAUGAGCCUAGGUCGGAUUAGCUAGUUGGUCGGGUAAAGGCCUACCAAGGCGACGAUCCGUAACUGGUCUGAGAGGAUGAUCAGUCACACUGGAACUGAGACACGGGCCAGACUCCUACGGGAGGCAGCAGUGGGGAAUAGUGGGCAAUGGGCGAAAGCCUGAGCCAGCAAAGCCGCGUGUGUGAAGAAGGUUGUCGGAUUGUAAAGCACUGUAAGUUGGGAGGCGUUACCAACAGAAUAAGCAACGGCUAACUUCGUGCCAGCAGCCGCGGUAAUAC